AUCAUAGAGACGUGAGCUGCUGACGUCGUCAGCAACCAUGCCCAUGCAACCUGAACCCGAAGAGUUGCGACACCUUACCAGUGUUGGUUCACCCGAAGACCGUUUAGCUUCUGGCAGCACGGUUGAUCGGCUCCCGCCGAUAGAAGC
rnacentral:ncRNA from 1 species